UACGGAGGGUGCAAGCGUUGCUCGGAAUUAUUGGGCGUAAAGGGUAGGUAGGUGGUCUCAUUUGUCUGGGGUGAAAGCCUUGGGCUUAACUCAAGAAGUGCCCCAGAAACGGUGAGACUGGAGUCCUGGAGAGGGUCGUGGAAUUCCCGGUGUAGCGGUGAAAUGCGUAGAGAUCGGGAGGAACAUCAGUGGCGAAAGCGGCUUCCUGGACCAGAACUGACGAUCAGGCACGAAAGCGUGGGGAGCAAACAGG
rnacentral:rRNA from 1 species